rnacentral:hammerhead_ribozyme from 1 species
AUUCAGCUGACGAGUCCCAAAUAGAAUGAAACGCUCGUCAGACUGGAU